UACGUAGGGUGCAAGCGUUGUCCGGAAUUAUUGGGCGUAAAGAGCUCGUAGGCGGUUUGUCGCGUCGAAUGUGAAAACCCGGGGCUCAACCCCGGGCCUGCAUUCGAUACGGGCAGACUAGAGUUCGGUAGGGGAGUCUGGAAUUCCUGGUGUAGCGGUGAAAUGCGUAGAUAUCAAGAGGAACACCUGCGGCGAAGGCGGGUUGCUGGGCCGACACUGACGCUGAAGCGCGAAAGCCAGGGGAGCGAACGGG
rnacentral:rRNA from 1 species